UCCGAGUUUAUCAAUAAACCAUACAAAUUUUAAUAUUACAAUAUGGAAAUGAUCUAUAUCGAUGAAGAAGAGGAAGCAACAAGUUCUAUUGCUUUACCAUGGCCAAAUUGAGCAUAUUUUAAAAUAAUAUCUCAAAACAAAGAAAACAAUUAAUUCUCUGAUGGUAAAAGGUUUGCCGUGUCUACCUAAAAAUACAAAAAUAUCCGUCAGUAUGACUUCAACGUGCAAUAUCGUGAAGCACAUAAGGAGAAAAUAUCCAACCUUGUUAACAAAAAUAAAAAAGGGG